CCUACGGGUGGCAGCAGUGAGGAAUAUUGGUCAAUGGACGAGAGUCUGAACCAGCCAAGUAGCGUGAAGGAUGACUGCCCUAUGGGUUGUAAACUUCUUUUAUAAAGGAAUAAAACGAGGCACGUGUGCCUUUUUGCAUGUACUUUAUGAAUAAGGAUCGGCUAACUCCGUGCCAGCAGCCGCGGUAAUACGGAGGAUCCGAGCGUUAUCCGGAUUUAUUGGGUUUAAAGGGAGCGUAGAUGGGUUGUUAAGUCAGUUGUGAAAGUUUGCGGCUCAACCGUAAAAUUGCAAGUGAUACUGGCAGUCUUGAGUACAGUUGAGGUAAGCGGAAUUCGUGGUGUAGCGGUGAAAUGCUUAGAUAUCACGAAGAACCCCGAUUGCGAAGGCAGCUUACUAAACUGUGACUGACAUUGAUGCUCGAAAGUGUGGGUAGCAAACAGGAUUAGAUACCCUUGUAGUC
rnacentral:rRNA from 1 species